UACGUAGGGGGCUAGCGUUGUCCGGAAUCAUUGGGCGUAAAGAGCGUGUAGGCGGCCCGGUAAGUCCGCUGUGAAAGUCGGGGGCUCAACCCUCGAAUGCCGGUGGAUACUGUCGGGCUAGAGUGCGGAAGAGGCGAGUGGAAUUCCUGGUGUAGCGGCGAAAUGCGCAGAUAUCAGGAGGAACACCGAUUGCGAAGGCAGCUCGCUGGGACGUUACUGACGCUGAGGAGCGAAAGCGUGGGGAGCAAACAGG
rnacentral:rRNA from 1 species